rnacentral:rRNA from 1 species
UUUAUUGGAGAGUUUGAUCCUGGCUCAGGACGAACGCUGGCGGCGUGCCUAAUACAUGCAAGUCGAGCGGAUCUUUGGGAGCUUGCUCCCGAAGAUUAGCGGCGGACGGGUGAGUAACACGUGGGCAACCUGCCUAUGAGACUGGGAUAACUCCGGGAAACCGGGG